rnacentral:rRNA from 1 species
UGGCCAGCCUUCUGAAAGGAAGAUUAAUCCAGGAUGGGAUCAUGAGUUCACAUGUCCGCAUGAUUAAAGGUAUUUUCCGGUAGACGAUGGGGAUGCGUUCCAUUAGAUAGUAGGCGGGGUAACGGCCCACCUAGUCAACGAUGGAUAGGGGUUCUGAGAGGAAGGUCCCCCACAUUGGAACUGAGACACGGUCCAAACUCCUACGGGAGGCAGCAGUGAGGAAUAUUGGUCAAUGGGCGAUGGCCUGAACCAGCCAAGUAGCGUGAAGGAUGACUGCCCUAUGGGUUGUAAACUUCUUUUAUAAAGGAAUAAAGUCGGGUAUGCAUACCCGUUUGCAUGUACUUUAUGAAUAAGGAUCGGCUAACUCCGUGCCAGCAGCCGCGGUAAUACGGAGGAUCCGAGCGUUAUCCGGAUUUAUUGGGUUUAAAGGGAGCGUAGAUGGAUGUUUAAGUCAGUUGUGAAAGUUUGCGGCUCAACCGUAAAAUUGCAGUUGAUACUGGAUGUCUUGAGUGCAGUUGAGGCAGGCGGAAUUCGUGGUGUAGCGGUGAAAUGCUUAGAUAUCACGAAGAACUCCGAUUGCGAAGGCAGCCUGCUAAGCUGCAACUGACAUUGAGGCUCGAAAGUGUGGGUAUCAAACAGGAUUAGAUACCCUGGUAGUCCACACGGUAAACGAUGAAUACUCGCUGUUUGCGAUAUACGGCAAGCGGCCAAG